rnacentral:rRNA from 1 species
GACGUAGGGGGCGAGCGUUGUCCGGAUUUAUUGGGCGUAAAGGGUGCGUAGGCGGCGCGGUAAGUCGGGUGUGAAAUCUCGGGGCUUAACUCCGAAACUGCAUUCGAUACUGCCGUGCUUGAGGACUGGAGAGGAGACUGGAAUUUACGGUGUAGCGGUGAAAUGCGUAGAUAUGCGGAGGAACACCGAUGGCGAAGGCAAUCCCCUGGGCCUGCACUGACGCUCAUGCACGAAAGCGUGGGGAGCAAACAGG